rnacentral:tRNA from 1 species
GAGGGUAUAGCUUAGUGGUAGAGUGCGUGCUUAGCGUGCCCGAGGUCCUGGCUUCAAUCCCCAGUACCGCCA